GGAGAGGUGGCCGAGUCGGCUGAAGGCGAUCGCCUGCUAAGCGAUUAAGGGGGUAAAGACCUCCUUCGAGGGUUCGAAUCCCUCCCUCUCCGCCA
rnacentral:tRNA from 1 species